GGGGCUAUAGCUCAAUUUAGGGAGAGCACUACGCUGGCAGCGUAGGGGUUAGGGGUUCGAGCCCCCUUAGCUCCACCA
rnacentral:tRNA from 1 species